GUCAUACCAGGAAAAAAUCUCUCAUUAAAAUGUAAUAUAUAUAUAUACAGGUAUCAAUGUUCAAUCAAUACGUGUUCACAUCAUCACGCAAUCAAACUGUCAGAAAGAUGGACGGAAAAUAUUACAUGUUUUUCCUUAUUAUUGGAAUUCUCAUAACUUAUGGAACGACUGAAAGAAGCGGGGAUUGCAAUCGUGUAAGAUGUAGACGAAUUUGUCCCGGUAACCUGUUCCAAAUCGAUGACAAUGGGUGUAUUCUCUGUCGUUGUUGUACGUCUGGACCAAAGUGCAUUAACACAAGACCAAACAACAACAAAUCCUUCAAGGAAUUACUUAACUUGCUUAGAGGAUGAACUUAAUGAAAUCAUAGAUAAAGAAGUUCUAUAAAAUCUA